ACGGGAGGCAGCAGUGGGGAAUAUUGGACAAUGGGCGCAAGCCUGAUCCAGCGACGCCGCGUGAGCGAUGAAGUAUUUCGGUAUGUAAAGCUCUAUCAGCAGGGAAGAAAACGACGGUACCUGACUAAGAAGCUCCGGCUAAAUACGUGCCAGCAGCCGCGGUAAUACGUAUGGAGCAAGCGUUAUCCGGAUUUACUGGGUGUAAAGGGAGCGUAGACGGCAUCACAAGUCAGAAGUGAAAAUCCGGGGCUCAACCCCGGAACUGCUUUUGAAACUGUGGAGCUAGAGUGCAGGAGAGGUAAGCGGAAUUCCUAGUGUAGCGGUGAAAUGCGUAGAUAUUAGGAGGAACACCAGUGGCGAAGGCGGCUUACUGGACUGUAACUGACGUUGAGGCUCGAAAGCGUGGGGAGCAAACAGGAUUAGAUACCCUGGUA
rnacentral:rRNA from 1 species